GAGUUACAGGAAGCUUGAUUUCCAAAAAGUACAAAUCAAUAAAUCUCUUUUUUAAAUCCAGACACUCGUCUCCACCAGUGAAACCCACUCGCUGUGAGUUUUACUAUGAGACUGACUCAUGUUGCUUUUCAGGCUGUGAUGCAGACACUCGUACUUCACCUCCAUCACCAGUGGAGUGUGGCUGGUUGUUUCAUCUUUAAAGAGUCUCACUCUGAAGAGAUUUAAUUUUUUAACUUCACGUGUAACGUGGAUUUAAUUCCAUCUCUAUUCUUCUUAUAAUUUAUAAACACCUGACUUCUCUGUCUCGGUGAAAACACAUCCUUUUUUAAUUUUUCCCUCUGAUUUUUAAUCUUCAUUCUUCUCUUUUCAUUCAAGUCAAUUUCUAUUCUUUCACAUGUUGAUCUCAAGCUCAUUUCUGACCUAACAGCAGUGGAGGAGAAGAUCUCCUGACAAGUGGCUGUUCCUGAGCUAAUGAUCAUAUUACAUAAAAAAAAACAACAUCAGAGUUCAUAUCCAUGAUGACAGCGGAUGAAGGUCGUGUGAUUUGAUGGAAAGCAACAGAAAAUGAACCAGACGACCUUGAGGGUUGAUGUUUGUCUCAACUCUUUUAAGUGUCAUCUACUGAAUAAAGAGCCUACUUGAUAUUUUACUUUAGUAGAUUUACUUUCAGGUACUUUUUACUUUCACUUGUCACGUUUCCUCGGUCUCUUCCAACUCAUCUCUGUCAAGCUUUAUUUCUAACCCUCUUCUCCCUCCUCUCCUCUUUCUGUGUAUGGUUAUUCCUGGUGUUUCACCGAGUGAUUCAGACGUUUCCAGCUCAGACGGCUGAGAGCCCGGUGACUAACGGUGAGUGAGCGAUGGCACACCGGUCCCUGAGAGAGGCCACCUCGCUCCCAUCAAUCAGCCGCCUGCCUGCUACCUGGAGGCAGGGACGCUGGAGAUAAAGCACCCCCGCCUUCUGGAAAUUGCUACAAUUGAGUGAUUAAGACUGAUGACGUCAAAGAAAAGCCUUUUUAUGUGUAUUUACUGAACGUAUGUUGACUUACCUUCAUUCACACACGUCUAUGUGACUGUGACUCACCAGCGUCCUGGCCUUGGGCUCUGUUUGUGGCAGCUGCGUUGGUGAAACGCACGGUGAUGACGAAGAGGAGGAGGAGAAGACCUGGGAUGAGGAAGAGGCAACGUCACCUCAGGAAGUCAUGACAACGGGUUGCACCACCACCAGGGGGCGGUGCGCAACCGGGAGUCCACUCUCCAGCGUGAAAGUGGCAGAAACUUGGACUAUGGGUAGAGAAGGUCUCUGGUUCGACUCCACGGAGGAACAACAAAAAGACGAACCUGGAUUGAUCUGUCCAAAAAUCCAAGAGGAUUCUCCUUACCCUGUCUAGUGCCCCCUGAGCAAGGCACCUUUCUCCCCCAACA